GACGUAGGGCGCGAGCGUUGUCCGGAUUUAUUGGGCGUAAAGAGCUCGUAGGCGGCUCAUCGCGUCAACCGUGAAAACCAGCAGCUCAACUGUUGGCUUGCGGUUGAUACGGGUGGGCUGGAGUCCGGAAGAGGCGAGUGGAAUUCCCGGUGUAGCGGUGAAAUGCGCAGAUAUCGGGAGGAACACCGGUGGCGAAGGCGGUUCUCUGGGCAUGACCUGACGCUGAGGAGCGAAAGUGUGGGGAGCGAACAGG
rnacentral:rRNA from 1 species